rnacentral:rRNA from 1 species
UACGGAGGGUGCGAGCGUUAAUCGGAAUUACUGGGCGUAAAGCGCGCGUAGGCGGUCAGGCAAGUCGGGUGUGAAAGCCCUGGGCUCAACCUGGGAAUUGCAUUCGAAACUAUCUGACUCGAGUACGGGAGAGGGAAGCGGAAUUUCCGGUGUAGCGGUGAAAUGCGUAGAUAUCGGAAGGAACACCCGUGGCUAAGGCGGUUCUCUAGUACGGUACUGACGCUGAGACGCGAAAGCGUGGGGAGCGAACAGG